AUGAGAUUGUGGGGUCUUCUCCUUUGCCUGGUGACAGCUCCACAAGGUGUCCUGUCCGAGGUGCAGCUGCAGGAGUCGGGCCCAGGACUGGUGAAACCCUCACAGACCCUCUCCCUCACCUGUGCUGUCUCUGGUUUCUCCAUCACAAACAGUGGUUAUGGUUGGAGCUGGAUCCGCCAGCCCCCAGGGAAGGCGCUGGAGUGGAUGGGACGCAUCAGUAGUAGUGGUGGUACAGCUUAUAACCCGUCCCUCAAGAGCCGCACCUCCAUCACCAGAGACACGUCCAAGAACCAGUUCUCCCUGCAGCUGAGCUCUGUGACCGCCGAGGACACAGGCAUGUAUUACUGUGCAAGAGACACAGUGACAGGAAGUCAGCGCGAGCCCAGACACAAACCUCCCUGCAGGAUACAGGAGGGGUCUGGGCUGAAGGGGGCGCUCAAGGCCCACCCAGCUCCUGUACCCCAUGGAGCAGGACCCCUGCUCAUGGCGUCUCUAUCCUCAAUGAGGCAGUUUAGCCUCUGGAUCCUCAUCCACACUGUGGACAUUGAUGUUCAGGAUUUGUCCCACUGA